rnacentral:rRNA from 1 species
AUGGCGGCGGCGGCGGCGGCGAGGAAGACCGCCGGUGUGCUCGCGCUCUUCGACGUCGACGGCACCCUCACCGCGCCCCGCAAGGAGGUGACGCCGGAGAUGCUCGAGUUCAUGAAGCGCCUGCGCGAGAAUGUGACCGUCGGCGUGGUGGGGGGAUCCGAUUUGGUCAAGAUCUCCGAGCAGCUCGGCAAAUCAGUUAUCACCGACUACGACUACGUCUUCUCCGAGAAUGGCCUGGUCGCUCACAAGGACGGCAAGCUCAUCGGGACGCAAAGCUUGAAAACGUAUCUUGGAGAUGACCAGCUUAAGGAAUUCAUUAACUUCACUCUUCAUUACAUUGCGGACUUGGAUAUCCCAAUUAAAAGGGGUACAUUCAUAGAGUUCAGGAGUGGAAUGAUCAAUGUGUCGCCUAUAGGGAGGAACUGUAGUCAAGAAGAACGUGAUGAUUUUGAGAAGUAUGAUAAGGUACAUAACGUUCGGCCUAAAAUGGUGUCAGUGCUUCGCGAAAAGUUUGCACACCUGAACCUGACCUUUUCUAUUGGAGGGCAGAUCAGUUUUGAUGUAUUCCCGCAAGGCUGGGACAAAACCUACUGCUUGAGAUAUCUCGAAGAAUUCAAAGAAAUCCAUUUCUUUGGGGACAAAACCUACAAGGGUGGCAAUGAUCAUGAGAUAUUUGAAUCUGAAAGAACAGUUGGUCAUACAGUUACCAGCCCCAAUGACACGGUGCAGCAGUGCAAAUCCAUCUUCCUGUCGGAGUGA